rnacentral:lncRNA from 1 species
CUGGGAGUGAUUUUUUCUCAAAAAAAUUGAUUUUUUAACCGUUAUUUCACUAUUUUAAUCGUCAUGUUUGACUUCUUCUCUCACAGAUGGACCCCCAUUUUUUUACUAAUGGUCAAAAAAUCAACUCUCAAAAUCUCUCCCAAACAGCUCUUGGCUACUAUUCAAGGGCAAUUUUGGAAACAACGAAAUAAAAUUUCCUCUAUUAAAGAGCUGGACUUUCCUCAGCACAAUACAACUGCACUACAAUCAUGGCUGCUACACGAGUGAUUCUUACACUGCUUCUUUCUCUCUUCUGUGUUUCCCUGGUAUAAAUCUCAUAAGGACUCUCUUUUAAUCACCACAAAUGUAAAUUUAUUAUGAUUUAACGGUGUAACUUGCAGGCUUCGUCCGAUUUAAAGAUUGAUGAAGGAAAAAAACAUCACAGCGAGGCAUUUCGUGUAAUUUAUCUCUUUUCUUUUAGUUUUUUGUUUCCUCUUAAGUGUUUGAUGAAAUGCCAUUGUGGGUUUUGUUCCUCAAUCUUUUCUUUUUGUGUGUCUGUGUUUUUCAGGUGUUUUCCAGAGGCACAGACAGAAAUCUCAUGCAGGAUACGGGUGAGUGAUCAUUUAGAUUUUUUAACCUAGUUGUGUAAAUUUGGGGCUUUUAUCUUGAUCCGUUUUUUAAUAAUGAUAAGACUUAGCGCCUGCUUGUCUACGUUUAAAAUAAAACUCUUUAGAGCCUGUUUUAGAGCAUGUUUAGGAAUGAUUCUGGGAAUUGAUUUUUUGAUAAAAUGAGGUUGAUUGAAGAAGUCAAAUAUGACGGUUGAAAUAAUGAAAUAACAGUAAAAAAAAAAAAAAAAUCAAUUUUUUGGGGGUAAAAAAACACUCCCAAACAGCCUCUUAAAUUUUCAUUUUCAUUUUCGACUGUAUGUUCACUUGAUAAAAUAUUUUACACAUGAACUCAAAAAAAUUUCCUACUUUUCACAGCAUAUUCUUCAAAAAAAUCGAUAUUCAACACAUCAUUUUUUUUUCUCAAAAUAAUGGCCAUCGAACAAGGGCUUAGUGUAUCGUUGUAGCGUUUUAUUUAUAACACAUUGGCGCUGCCCAUAAUGUAGUAAGUGCAUGUUUGGCAAAGCUUAGAGGACGCAUAACUAUAUUAUCAACUUAUUAUAUACACAUGAUGAUGUGGGACUAACAAUUUAUGACCCUCCCAAACAAGCGCCAAAAAUGAUCACGAAAUACUUGGACACUGGUGCUCCUGCUCCGGCUCUGGCUCCGGUUCCGCCUCCAGCUCCGACCCCAGCUCACGGCAUCGACUGUGGUGGGCUGUGCAAGUACAGGUGCAGCCAGCACUCCAGGCAAAAUUUGUGUAUAAGGGCAUGUGGGACUUGUUGUGUGAGGUGCAAGUGUGUGCCACCAGGAACCUCCGGCAAUAGAGAGAUGUGUGGAAAAUGUUAUACUGAUAUGACCACCCAUCGCAACAAGACCAAGUGUCCUUAGGCCAAGUAUUUAGAUUGAAACUCUUUUGGGUGUGUUUGUCUUUAUCUAUGUUAGAACAAAUGGGCGUGUUUGGUUCGAUCUUAUAAUAUUGGGCAAUAUUGAAAAAUUAAAAAUUUCGUAUUGUCUCUAAUUCAGUACUAAAUAUCAAGUAUGGAUAGUUUUAUAUAAUUAUCUAUCAAGUCAUUUGUGGUAAAUAAAUCUAUUCCUUUUCUACUUUAUAUUGUUGAUUUGAUGCUUGUUUGGCAAGAGGUUCUUUGAAAAACAUUUUUCCUUGGACGCACAUUUGACUUGCAACCUUUUUCACUUUUUAACUACAUACCUUUUUUCAUUAAAAAAAAAAAAUAAAUAUUCAUUUUUCUCUUGGACAUAUCUGUGCCAUUUUUUUUUUCCUUUUCUUCUGUGACUGAAAAAAGUGGCCACUUGAAGCCCUAAUGCAUCUCCAUUUCUAUUUGUUUCAUUAUUUUUGAGUCCAUCCAAGUCCAACAAUAUAAAAUAUCAUAAUUUACAUCACAAUUCAUUGAAAAACUCCUAUUUUAGAGGAUAAUUUUUUAGCAUUAAAUCAGCAAUAGAUUCGAAGGAGAUUUAUCGAUUCUUCCUCGAUUUUCUGUUAUCGAUAAAUCAAAGAAGCGAGGAGGAAAAAUUGUAUUGAUUAAUUAUAUAGGGAUUUAUAAGUAUGUUUAUACAAGUAGCUAAACGUUUUGCUAUGCCAUAGAAAUGAUCUCUGGAAUGAUUAGGCAAACUAUGACACCUAGAUAAACAUCCCAUUAUCUGUAAUUCCAAAAUGUUGAUUCAAACUCUUGGUAGUUACAUAAAAGACGUUACUUCUAUGAAGGUUGAACCCUAAUUUUGAGGGUUCUUAUCGUUCCGUCUCUAGAGUUUUGUGAGUAGUAAAUUUUGGGAUGUGCCCCAACAGGUCAGGGAACAAGAGCUGCGUGUACAUUGCGUCUACAAGGAGUCAAAUUUCAUGUCUUAGAAAUCGAAUCCUCACAUUGCAAAAGACGUUACUUCUAUGCUUACGCGCUACAAUGCGUUAUAUAUUGAUAUUUUCUUGAUAGUUUAUCAAGUUUGAGUAAAAUUUAGAAAAGUUUAUGAAAAUUUCAGGACGCCCCUAUGUUUUCCCAAAUUUUAGUAACUUUCCCUAUCAGCAGAAAGUUCCC